rnacentral:rRNA from 1 species
CUGGCGACCGGCGCACGGGUGAGUAACACGUAUGCAACCUGGCCGUGACAGAUGGAUAACCGGGAGAAAUCCCGCCUAAUACAACAUAAUGCCGGGAGGGGACAUCCCCUGCCGGCCAAAGGGGCGACCCCGGUCACGGAUGGGCAUGCGGCGCAUUAGGUAGUUGGUGGGGCAACGGCCCACCAAGCCGACGAUGCGUAGGGGUUCUGAGAGGAAGGUCCCCCACAUUGGAACUGAGACACGGUCCAAACUCCUACGGAAGGCAGCAG